CGAAAACAAAAAUAUAACAGGUUGAUAACUUGUCUACAAGGCAAAGUAACUGCCGCUGACCCAGAAACUACAAGUAUCGUGUCGAAUUUACGACUGCAGAUGGACGAAAUAGCAACCGGUGGUUUACUGUAACAGACAUAACGUCUCCUUCGAUGCAGUUAGAAACACUGCGACACAGGAGAACCGACUGUGAUAGUCAAGAUAUUUCGGAAAGCGAGCAUGAUAAUCUUGGUAGCAUUGCACAAGGUGACAGCCAAGAGUUCUUGCCAGAAACUGCCCCAGAAAAUGCUAAAGAAUACCAAGGUAGACUGCCGUCUGGCCAGCAAACCGUUUUCAAAUCACCAGACGGUCAAGACCAGACGAAAAAAACUAAAAGAAUUUCGAAGACUUGGUCGAAUCCCGAGAAGAAAAAAUUGGCAUCCACUAAAAAGAAAAUUGAUGAUAAGAUAUUUAAUUAAAUGGUUUUUAUGCACGUUGCUACAAGUACAUAUAUUGUUUCUGUGUGACAGCAAGAUUCAAUGGCUUCUUCCGUUACAACAGGCAAGAAAUCGUUACAAGUUUGACCUUGUUCGUUUAAAUUAAUGCUGCUAUCAUAGCUAUAGCAUGCACUCUAGACAAUGCUAGGGAUCAUUUGAGGAAAGCUUCCGAAAUUCUGUCAAGAAUAGCAGUACUUGCAGCGGCUAGUUCACGACAGGCGCAGUUACUUGCAGCUGUCAGUCUUAUUUCUCAGGCAUCCUUGGUGAUUUCUAAAAGUGGGGAUCUGUCUCAUUUGUGAUUACGACCUCUGUCACGGCACGACUGUCACCACAAGCAGCAGCAAAGAAAAUCCCACGCUAGAAAGUGUUUUUGAUCACAUGAAAACGUUUCAGACGACGGCAAACAGUGAUUUUAGAAUUUGUAUAUACAAAUUGAACCUAAAUGCACUUAAGAAGUUGAUCUAUAUAACGAUAUCGAUGUCAUUGUUUUCAAUGACUGUCAUAGGGAAACAACAACUACGAAGUCACGAAAAUGUGCAUGUCGUCUUGACUGCGAACGUGUUGCAAGUCUGAAUUUUUCAUUCUGCAAACAAAAAAUUUGUUGUAAAAAAGAUCCUAGGCAAUGCCGUAUGAAGAGUCACAACAAAAGUGCGGCAGAUCAAUGAUAAGAAGGAAGAUCAUCUCAACAAGCGAACAAAAUGUACAAGUGUACAAGUACAAAAGAAGCCAAUCGCUCAAAACAGCGUUAAAAUUGAUGUGCUUACUCCUAUCGAUAUAGAUAAUAGACUGCGUCAAUCGCAUACUAGAAGUGACAGUGCAAAAGUCGAAAAUGAUACGAAGCUUGACACAACUAUAAAUCAAUCGUUUCAGUUUUCUGAUAUGACGAUGAAAGAUGUCUGUUUCAAGUUGACGGUAGAAUUCGUCAAAUUUAUGUCUGAAUGGGAUGUCCAGGAAGACGACGUAGUAGAAAAUGUAAUGACAGCUCUCCUAACAAGUGUCAACAUGCAUCAAGUUGAAAACGAUGCAGAUGGCAACUGUCUUUUUGAAGCAUGUUCUUUUCUUAUAUAUGGUUCAGCACGCUAUCAUUCCCAAGUUAGAGCAGAGGCUGUACGUUUCAUUCAAGAAAAUGAACGCCUAUUAAAGGACGCUGUUCUUUCUGUGCAAGACAGCACCUACAGCGCUAAAAACUAAAUAGAAGAUCAAGAUGCAACAGCAAAUUUGUGAUGGAGUUUCUAAUUGCAUAGGUAAUAAAUUACAUCUACAAGGAUUUUCAAGACUAUGUUAAUGACAUGAGACCGAGACGAAUCCUAAGCCUUUCUAGCUUUGUACUCCCUAUUUUUCGCAAGCGCGGAAUAGCUGCUUUCCAAUGGAUAAAAAAGGUAAUUUAUCACAAUACAUAGCGAGCCAAUGUAAACACUGUUCAUGUGUUGAAUUUUUAGCUAAAUGUUUUUCAUUAUGAGCUUC